rnacentral:rRNA from 1 species
GAUGAACGCUGGCGGUAUGCUUAACACAUGCAAGUCGAAGGGCAACAUCGUCUUAGCUUGCUAAGACUGAUGGCGACCGGCGCAAGGGUCCGUAAAGCAUAUGCAACUUGCCUCACAGAUGGGUAUAACCCGUCGAGAGACAGACUGAUAACGCGUACACUCCAUCUUGGGCGGCCUAGAUAGAUGCAAUGAAAUGCGCUGUGCGAUAGGCAUGCGUGCCAUUAGCUAGGUGGUGAGGUAACGGCUCACGAAGGCGACGAUGGGUAGGGGAACGGAGAGGGUGAGCCCCGAGACGGGUACUGGCACAAUGACCAGACUCAUACGGGAGGCAGUCGUGCGGAAUACUGGGGAGUGGGAGAGAGCCUGAACCAGGCAAGCCGGGUGCAGGAAGACUGUGUUAUGGAUGGUAAACUUCUGUUAGAAGGGAACAACAAGCGGUACGGGUGACUCCCUGACGGUACCGGAUGAAUAAGCAUCGGCUAACUACGUG